UACAGAGGGGGCAAGCGUUGUUCGGAAUUACUGGGCGUAAAGGGCGCGUAGGCGGCCUGCUAAGUCGAACGUGAAAUCCCUGGGCUCAACCCAGGAACUGCGUCCGAUACUGGUUGGCUUGAAUCCGGGAGAGGGAUGUGGAAUUCCAGGUGUAGCGGUGAAAUGCGUAGAUAUCAUCAGGAACACCGGAGGCGAAGGCGGCUCACUGGGGGUUAUCUGACGCUGAGGGACGAAAGCCAGGGGAGCGAACGGG
rnacentral:rRNA from 1 species